rnacentral:lncRNA from 1 species
GGUCAAAUUUCACAAAUAAAGACAUGAGAAAUAUAAGGGUAACAAAACCUUUAGCUUGACAUAUCCCUGGCUAGUUUUUCCACGUCCUACCUCACAUAUCAGUCUCAAAAAAUAUGCUCAAUGUACAAAGUUUCAAAUAAAAGGGAGACAUCUACACCGAGAGCACUGUAUUAUUAUCAACCUUUAAUGUGCUGAAAAGGAAUCAACAUAAUCACAAAUCAAAUAGCUAGAUUUGAUAGAUUUCAAUAAUCAAACAAGAACUAUACUCAAAUCUAUGAUUUUUAAUCCUCAACCGGAAUCCUGCUUAAACUCUUAUGCCUGUUACAAUUAGGCAUGAAAUCCCACCCUGCAAGAUUAUACAAAGAAUAAUAACUAGAAAGAAAAUAAGGAAUUCAAAAGAUUAAAAAAACCUAAAGUUUUACAGGAACUCCGUGUUUCCCAAACAUAUGUCACACGUCCAUUAUCUCCCAGUAAAGGACGAGAGGAAACUUGGAGAAUUAAAUCAAGAAAACUAAUCUCUAUCUUAAGAUAUUACAUGCAGUGCAGGCAGAUUACAAGAAACAAUUCCAAGUACUGAUGGAGAGAAACAGGUUAACAAUACAACCUUUAUGUCCAGAAAAAUUACAUGAUAAGACCAAAUUAACAAGCUUCUGAGAUUGAACAAGAUCAGCAAGGGAUUAAAAUUGAGAAAUAUAGCAAUCAAUAAGAUGAUCAGACCAGUAAAGAGUAAAUCAUACCCAAAAUUCACAAAGACAGCCACUGCUUCAACAACCAACCACAUAGUAAAAGACAAAUCCUCCCCAAAUUCAAGUGCCUACUUAUAAACCUAGAACGCAUCCCAAGCCUAUGAGAAACACAAAUAAGUGGGAAAAGUAAGAAAGUUGUUUGAUAGCAAUGAACACAAACAAAUGCAAGUCGAAGGGAAUGGAACUCCAUCAUCGAACGAAUAACCACAACACCUCCAAAUAACACAUCCCUAGAAUGCAGUGAAACUAAAUACCAUAGCUGAGAAGUAAGAAAGAAACAAAGAUUGUUUUGACUACAACGAAAAUGAAAAGAAACUCUUUUCUUUUAAAUGACUCCCUUGCUGAAAGAAGUGUCUCGGGGGACUAGAAAGAGAAAGUAAAAUGGCUGACCCAGACAUUUAUAGUGUCUGUCAUAAAGAGGUAAUUCCCAAUCCACAAGUUUAUCCGUGAAUAGUAGCAGCAAAGAAAAUAAUAAAAGCAAAGAAUAAAACCUAUGUUUUGUGUCUGAAACAAAAAACAUGAACUCCAAAGCCCAUUGAACAAGGCUGCAGAGAUUGGAGAUAUAAAUCCUUACUCCCUCCCUAGGCUUCCACCAGAUAGCAGAUGAAGAGGAUAUUGCUUUUGGAAAAUAAAUAUCUGCAAAGCAUCAAAGCAAUUAUAACCAUAAUAUAUUAAUUCUGGGAAGUGAAACCAUAAUAAUUAUAAUUAAUCCCUUAGAAAAAAAAAAGAGACAUUUACAGUAUCUUCAUGUUCUCUUGUGUAUACAGUCUCACUUUCUGAUAUCAGUCAAAGUAAUAUACUUGCCUCCAUAUUUCCUUUUCAUACUAAUUAAAACUAUACAAACUAGUAAAGUUCAAGUAUUAGAAAGCAACAGACAAAAUUUCAUGUGUCCAUAUUAAUAACAGGGUCAUUAAACAAGAUAGCUAGAAAUUAGUACAAUACUAAAAAUAUACCAAAAUGAAGAUUAAAUGCCAUUCACCUUCAACUUUGAGAACUGAUCAGCCAACAACAGAUCCUAUGAACCAAGUCAAUCAAUCUAAAGAAAGAUAAAAAAAAUAAAAUAGAGUACCAAAAGAUUGAAAUUUUGUAAUUUAACUUUUAAGUUUAGGGCAUCCAUGUAAGUAAGUUUGAAACAAAACACAGUUAUAUCAAGCUUAGCAUGAUUAAUUAUGAACUCCAUAUGCCAAGUAGGCAUUUUAGUGCAGUUGGAUAUGCAGUAACUUGUCAAUAAUCAUUGUCCCCGUUUACAAUCAAAUGACUAAGACAAUAUGUCUGGCAAAAUGGUUUAUUGUUAGGCACCAAAAAUAGAUUAUGAAAAAAAUACGAAGUACACUGAAGUAAAAAGGAGUGGUAAAAAAAAAGAAUGUUUUUUCACCAGUGGUAAACGCCAUUGAACAAGACUGCAAUAAAAUAGAAGAAACAUUAGGAGCAAAAGAGUGGAAUUAUUAUAACUAAAUCUUGUCAAAUAUUAGGAUUUAUGAAAAAACCUAAAAUUUAAAAUAAAAGUUAUCUAAUAAUUCCUGAAAGUUGAGUAAAAUUCAAUUAAAUCUGACUCUACAAACUCGCAUAAAAUAAAUAAAUUCAAAAUGUAAAACAGAUAUUGUUCUUACCAAGUAAAGUUUAAAUGCCUCUUGAAAAGAAUCAUGCUUCAAGACUAGCUUCAAAAUAUUUCAUAAAUUAAAAAAAGAUUAAGAACCUUAGAAGGAACUAUAGAUGGAAGUAUGAAUAUCAGAAUAUCCAGUGACUUGAUAUAAAAAAGACAAAGGCCAAACUUUCAGUAAAACUCUAUAGAAAAAGUACUUUCAACUCUAUAGAAAAAGUACUUUCAACGUUUUUCUUCUGAAGCUUCAUUUAGCAUUCCUUUAUCACUUUUGAUUGAAUUAACUUCCACUUAAUCAACGUUUCUAUCUAUAGCUUAUAUUGUGCUUCUCAUAUGUCCAAACAUAAUCUUCUCAAUAGGAGAUAAUUCAACUUUCUCCGAAAUAUAUUUGUUCUUAGUUUUAUCUUUUCUCAUGUCUAUCCAUCUCAUCCCUUAACCCUAAACUCUAAACUUUAAACCUUAAACCUAAAUAUUAAAUCCUAAUCCUAAAUCCUAAACCCUACAUCCUAAACCCUAAACUUACUUAUUAUCACUGCUUAAUAUUAACUACCAUAGAGCAUUGACCAUCUUAUACAUGUAUUGUAGAGUGUUUGAAAGACAUUUCAUUUCACGAAUUGUGCUUUAAACAGUUUUAGCCAACAGAGAUUGCUGAUCUAGACAUGCAAAAUCCAAACGGUUGCAUAGUUCGUUAACUCAAUCUCUAGAUUCUGCCAUAAGGAAAUCAAGUUGUUCUUGCUCCUAUGCAAUCUCAACCACAACUUCCUACCCCUGAUAAUCUUCCUCAAUCAAUUCCCGUUUUCCUCCCCCUGAUGGUAAUCCUAAACCUCCUCCACAACAGGGUUUACCACAUCUACCUCCAGUUCAACUUCCAAACCAAUUCUCUCCAAACCACCUGAGUCAACACCUCAUCCCCAAUAUCAGACAGCAAUAUCAGCAGAACCCACAUCCCCAAUACCCUUCCACUACAUAAGAUAGAGCAUAAUCCAAUGCAGGGCAAGUUAAUUAAGCUAACAAUAACAGCAGAAUGGAAAGUCUCUAGGAAACGAAGGCUAAAAUAACCAAAUGAUCAACAACAAAUAACAAAAAAAUGACGAAAAAAAAACAAAAGAAAGGGCACAUCACCGUGAAGUUAUAGAGAAUAUGGCGAGAGAAAAGGAUACGUACCACGCAAAGCUAAGGGUUAUGUCUCUGCAGAUCUGAAACAGAACACGAACGAGUCAGUGAGUGAGUGACAGUUUUUCCCUACCCCUACCAAGAGUAAUUCUCCAAAUACCUGAGUAACGGUUUUCUCAUGCUACUCCAAUGCCUUUAAGAUAGGAACAAUUCCUGAUAUGAAAAGGAAGAAAACAACCAAAGAACAAAACCCACAGAAGAAAAUAGCAAGUUCAGAAUGAAGAUAUAUUAGAGAUCACGGCUAGAACAAAUAAGUAGAAAGGAAACUCAUAAAAAUUAGGUUAUCCCAAGUUGUAAGUCGUUCUAAUCUUAUGAUUUUUAAUACUCAGUCGGAAAAUUCUGAGAAGGAACGAAUGCUUUAAUUUUCAGAAAUAAAUAACAAUUCCAACAAGAAUGAUCAAUCCAAAGGUUUGGAAAACUAAUAAAAGAGCCAAAGACCUAUAUUAGAGGCUUAUACGAGAAGGCAUGAAAAUUGAGUAGUGAACUUUUCAAACCAAGAAGCAAACCAUCAAAUCAAAGAUUAAAAGCCAACCGCACUUGUCCCAUGCUCAUCCCACAAAUAGCAUCCUAUGAACCAUACACCAGCAAAAUACAACCAGGAUUAUAAUCAAACCAUCAAAGAAAUAUUUAGCUUCACAAAUAACAGAAAUUCCACAAUUCAAUCUUUGGAGAUCAAGUAGAGAAAAUAAUUUAAACAUCGAACACCAUUCAAUCCAACAUUUGAGACGAAUCUCAUCGAGAAAUUAGGAUAUCCUGGGAGUUGCAGCCAUUUUAAACUCUUUAGGAUUUAGGGUCAGAAACUCGAAUUGAUGAACUGUGGUCACAACCCUUCUCAUUCGUGCAGCUACUCCCGCAACACCAUCUACGCGGAUCAAAUAAUGUCGUCUAGUGUCUUCAAAUUCGAGAGGCAACAAAAUUGGAUCCAAUUUGGCACUGAUUCCCCGAAGAUAGUGUUGAAAAAGAAGCCACACAAAUGAAGCCAGGCCAUACCCCUGGUGGUCACAAAAAUCACCCAUGAAGAAAAACAGUGUCGCCAUUAGAGGAUUAUCCGAGAAGGCAUUAAAGUUUGAGUAGAAAACUUUUCAAACCAAUAAGCAAACCAUCAAAUCAAAGGGUAAAAGCCAACCGCACUUGUCCCAUGCUCAUCCCACAAAAUGCGUC